UAAAACUUUUAACAAGAUCUCUUGUUCUGCAUCGAUGAAAACGCAGCGAAAUGCAUAAGUAAUGUGAAUUGCAGAAUUCAGUGAAUCAUCGAAUCUUUGAACGCACAUUGCGCCCGCCAGCAUUCUGGGCAUGCCUUUCGAGCUCAUUCAACCCUCAAGCCCAGCUGGUUGCCCUACGCACGUAGCCCUUAAAGUAGUGCGGACCCUCCCGAGCCUCCUUUGCGUAGUAACUUAACGUCUCGCACUGGAUCCGAGGACUCUGCCGUAAAACCCCAAAACUUUUACAGGUUGACCUCGGAUCAGUAGGAAUACCCGCUAACUUAAGCAUACAAUAAGCGAGAAAAGAAACCAACAGGAUUGCCCCAGAACGCGAGUGAAGCGCAACAGCUCAAAUUUGAAAUCUGCCCCAGCCCAGUGUAAUUUGCAGAGAUGCUUUGGCCGUGCCUUCCGAUUCCCUGAACGGACGCCAUAGAGGUGAGAGCCCCGUACGUUGACACCAAGCCUUGUAAAGCUCCUUCGACGAGUCGAGUAGUUUGGAAUCUGCUCAAAAUGGAGAGUAUAUUUCUUCUAAAGCUAAAUAUAGGCCAGAGACCGAUAGCGCACAAGUAGAUGAUCGAAAGAUGAAAAGCACUUUGAAAGAGGUUAAACAGCACGUGAAAUUGUUAAAAGGGAACGCUUGUGACCAGACUUGCGUCCGGUGAAUCACCCAGCUCUCGCGCUGGCACUUCGCCGGCACAGCCAGCAUCAGCUUGCCGUCGGGACAAAGUUCAGAACGUAGCUCUCUUCGGGAGUGUUAUAGCCUGUUGCAUAAUACCCUUCGCGGCUGAGUACGCGCUCCGCAAGAUGCUGGCUAAUGGUCAUCAGCGACCCGUCUGAAACACGGACCAAGAGUCAACCUUAUGUGCGAGUGUUGGGUGUUAAACCCCUACGCGUAAUGAAAGUGAACGCAGGUGAGAGCUUCGGCGCAUCAUCGACCGAUCCUGAUGUUCUCGAUGGAUUGAGUAAGAGCAUAUAGGUUGGACCCAAAGAAGGUGAACUAUGCGUGUUAGGUGAAGCCAGAGGAAACUCUGUGGAGGCUCGCACGGUUCUGACGUGCAAAUCGAUCGUCAAACAUGCGCAUGGGGCGAAAGACUAAUCGAACCUUCUAGUAGCGUUUCCGCCGAAGUUUCCCUCAGGAUAGCAGUGUUGAACUCAGUUUAUAGGUAAAGCGAAUGAUAGGACUCGGGCGCUAUAUUCCUUCACCAUUCUCAAACUUUAAAUAUGAAGAAAGCCCUUGUUGCUUAAUUGAACGUGGGCAUUCGAAGUAUCAACACUAGUGGCCAUUUUUGUAAGCAGAACUGCGAUGCGGAUGAACCGAACGCGAGUUAAGGUGCCAGAGUAGUCGCUCAUCAGACACCACAAAAGUGUUAGUACAUCUUGACAGCAGGACGUGGCCAUGGAAGUCGGAAUCCGCUAAGGACUGUUAACAACUCACCUCCGAAUUACUAGCCCUGAAAAUGGAUGCGCUCAACGACUCACCCAUACCUCGCCCUCAGUGUAAAACGAUGCGCUGAGGAGUAGGCGACGUGGAGGUCAGUGACGAAGCCUAGGCGUGAGCCCGGUAGAACGGCCUCUAUGCAGAUCUUGUGUAGUAGCAAAUACUUCAAUGAGAACUUGAAGACCGAAUGGGAAAGUUCCAUGUGAACACGGUUGGACAUGGGUUAGUCAUCCUAAGCCAUAGGAAGUUCCGUUUCAAAGGCACUUGGCCCCGUAUGCGAAAGGAAGCCGUCAAUUUCCGGCACCUGGAUGGGUUUGCGCCGCAACGCAACUGAACGCGAGACGACGCGGGGGCCCCGGCAGAUCUUUUCUUCUUAACAGUCUAUCACCCUGAAAUCGGUUUGUCCGGAGCUAGGUUUAACGCGGAAGAGCCCAGCACUUCUGUUGGUCCGGUCGCUCUCGACGUCCCUUAAAAUCCGGAAGAAUAAUUCUCACGCCAGGUCUACUCAUAACCGCAGCAGUCUCCAAGGUGAACAGCCUCUGGUUGAUAGAACAAUGUAGAUAAGGGAAGUCGGCAAAACAGAUCCGUAACUUCGGAUAAGGAUUGGCUCUAAGGUUGGG
rnacentral:rRNA from 1 species